CCUACGGGAGGCAGCAGUGGGGAAUAUUGCACAAUGGGGGAAACCCUGAUGCAGCGACGCCGCGUGAGCGAUGAAGUAUUUCGGUAUGUAAAGCUCUAUCAGCAGGGAAGAAAAUGACGGUACCUGACUAAGAAGCCCCGGCUAACUACGUGCCAGCAGCCGCGGUAAUACGUAGGGGGCAAGCGUUAUCCGGAUUUACUGGGUGUAAAGGGAGCGUAGACGGCUGUGCAAGCCAGAUGUGAAAGCCAGGGGCUCAACCCCGGGACUGCAUUUGGAACUGAUAGGCUGGAGUGUCGGAGAGGCAGGCGGAAUGCCUAGUGUAGCGGUGAAAUGCGUAGAUAUUAGGAGGAACACCAGUGGCGAAGGCGGCCUGCUGGACGAUGACUGACGUUGAGGCUCGAAAACGUGGGGAGCAAACAGGAUUAGAUACCCGGGUAGUC
rnacentral:rRNA from 1 species